AAGGGCACCACAAGAACGCGUGGAGCAUGUGGCUUAAUUUGACUCAACGCGGGAAAUCUUACCGGGUCCGGACACACUGAGGAUUGACAGGCGCAUGCAAUUUUUUUACAAAUUUUUUUUCGGAAAAGUUUGUAAAAAAGGUUGCUAUAAAUAUGCUAGUCCUUUCAUGAUUGUGUGAUAGGUGGUGCAUGGCCGUUCUUAGUUCGUGGAGUGAUCUGUCUGCUUAAUUGCGUUUCAGAAAUUAGGUUCUUAGAGGUUUUGUUGUAUAGCGUGACCGUAGUUUCGACUAUGUUGUCCCUAUACUCAGCCCUUGAACCUUGAAGGAAACGAACGUGACCGCAACCUCUUGUUGCCUCUCUUUCAUCUUUUGGUGAACUGCUGCCUCGUGAUUUUUUCUGUUUUUCUUUUUUUUUUUUUUUUUUAAAAAAAGAAAGAAAGAAGGGCGGAGUUCAUGGGAAUUAGUAGAGCGGAGCGCAAAUUAGAGGGCCCGCCGACCUUUUUAAAACGGAGGAAGGUUGCGGCAAUAACAGUUCUGUGAUGCCCUUAGAUGUUCCGGGCUGCACACGUGCUACAAUGAUUGUUGCAGUGAGCAUCUUAAAAGUUCGUGUGUUUAACUACUACAAGCAGCUUUCGAGUUGUUUGUAUGUAUGUUGCACACGACAUACCUACUUCGAAAGUAAGUAGGUAAUCAAUUCGAAGUAACGGUUUCCCUUGCACAGUUAAAUAUCUCAAAAGAAAUUUUUUCUUCGGAAAUUUUUUCAUUUGGGAUGUGCUCCAUUAAUUCAUGGUGGGGACAGACCAUUGAAAUUGUUGGUCUNGUCUAACUAGGAAUGCCUUGUACGGGUCAUGGUUCAACAGACCACCCGGAAUAUGUCCCUGCCCUUUGUACACACCGCCCGUCGCUCUUACCGAUGGACUUCUCUGUGAGUUUGAGGGACUGGCUUUUUUGCUAUGGAAACUCAAACGAACAGUGUGGUCUAAAGGAAAGAGAAGUNGUAACAAGGCAUCGGUAGGUGAACCUGCAGAAGGAUCAAGCUUGGAU
rnacentral:rRNA from 1 species